rnacentral:rRNA from 1 species
UGGGGAAUAUUGGACAAUGGGCGCAAGCCUGCUCCAGCCAUGCCGCGUGAGUGAUGAAGGCCCUAGGGUUGUAAAGCUCUUUCACCGGUGAAGAUAAUGACGGUAACCGGAGAAGAAGCCCCGGCUAACUUCGUGCCAGCAGCCGCGGUAAUACGAAGGGGGCUAGCGUUGUUCGGAUUUACUGGGCGUAAAGCGCACGUAGGCGGACUAUUAAGUCAGGGGUGAAAUCCCGGGGCUCAACCCCGGAACUGCCUUUGAUACUGGUAGUCUUGAGUGCGAGAGAGGUGAGUGGAAUUCCGAGUGUAGAGGUGAAAUUCGUAGAUAUUCGGAGGAACACCAGUGGCGAAGGCGGCUCACUGGCUCGAUACUGACGCUGAGGUGCGAAAGCGUGGGGAGCAAACAGG